GACGAACGCUGGCGGCGUGCCUAACACAUGCAAGUCGAACGGAGUGAAGCCCUUCGGGACUUUACUUAGUGGCGAACGGGUGAGUAACGCGUGAGGAACCUGCCUUUCAGUGGGGGACAACAGUUGGAAACGACUGCUAAUACCGCAUGACGCUUCUUGGGGGCAUCCCUGGGAAGUCAAAGAUUUAUUGCUGAAAGAUGGCCUCGCGUCUGAUUAGCUAGUUGGCGGGGUAACGGCCCACCAAGGCGACGAUCAGUAGCCGGUCUGAGAGGAUGAACGGCCACAUUGGGACUGAGAUACGGCCCAGACUCCUACGGGAGGCAGCAGUGGGGAAUAUUGCACAAUGGGGGAAACCCUGAUGCAGCGACGCCGCGUGGAGGAAGAAGGUCUUCGGGUUGUAAACUGCUUUUGUCAGGGACGAAAAGGACCGUGUUAAUACCAUGGUCUGCUGACGGUACCUGAAGAAUAAGCACCGGCUAACUACGUGCCAGC
rnacentral:rRNA from 1 species